rnacentral:lncRNA from 1 species
UAGCUAAGUUGCUGAGGCUGGCUUUGAAAUUAUGAUCCUCCUGCCUCAGCCUCCUGAGCUGCUAGGAUUACAGGUGUGCACCACCACGUCCAGCUACCCACAUUUUUUUAAUUGGUGCAUUAUAGUUGUACAUAAUGACGGAGUUAUUGUUACGUAUUUGUCCAUGCACACACUAUAACAAUAUAAUUUUGUCACUAUCAUUCAUUGGCACCUCCCACCUCCCUCCCUUCUUCCCACUGCUGGGUCCCUUUCCUCUACUGAACUCCUUUCAAUUUUCAUGAGAUCUGUCUCACCUUUCUUUUCAGAAUUUGGAUUUUUAAUACACAUUCCAGGUGAUUCUGAUGGGGACUGCUUUGCGGAGCUCUUGGUAAUGGAUGAAAAGAGACUUUGGAGUGAGUGGAAAGGGUUUGCAUCCUGACUCUGCGGCUUACUAGAUGCGUUACCGGGAGAAGACCUUUAAAACCACUAAGUCUGCUUUCUCAGCUGUAGAUGAAUACUCUCCUCAUGGAGUUAUUGUUAAGGCUGGAUGGGUUUGGGUUGGCGAAGCCCUUAGCACCAGGUCUGAUGGAGGGAGCAAUCAGUAAAUAAUAGCCCUAGUGAAGAUGGUGUUAGAUCCUUGUAUCAUUUGAGUCCUUGCCGGACGGACACAGAAUCCAACUCAGAUGGUACCGGGGACAUUUGUGAAAGGAUGACACAGUGGGCAGGGUUAGGGAACUAACACAGACGCUAAGGCACCCAGAGAUGAGCAACAAGGAGAAGCUGGCAGUACCCUUGGUCCUGAAGGGGCAAGGGAAAUAAUAAUGGGGUUGGAGAGCUCAGUGAGAGCUGGAUUCUUGGAGCAGAGGUCACUCCACAGAAUCUCUGGUGGCAGAGAGGAAGCCACUGCUGAAAUGCAAGUGAAGCAAGAGGGACUGAGGAAGAAACAUCCCUUGCUCUGAUCUCUGGCCUGUGCCUCCUGUUACCUAACCUAACCAGGAAACCAGCCGCAAGGGAGCCUGGGAAGUGGAGUCCUAAGGAAUCAGCCUGCUGGGUGGGGUGCAGAGAGGGGCGGAGGGUGGGAAGGGAGGGAGAGGGAGACAGAAAGGUGAGAAACAGCUUGAAGAAGAUGAUGGAAGCCAGUGCUGGGAAUCUGAGGUUUAUGGAUAAUCUUUUCAUCAGAAUUGAAAUAGAGCUGGCGUUCUCUGAAAGAUCCAGUAGUUUCUGCAGACUGUUCGGUAAGAAUGGGCCAUUUAUUUUCCACACUGGAAUCGCAUCCUAUCCUGGGACAUUUAGGCUGUUCACACACGGUCAUCAAAUCAUCUGGGGGAGCUGGGCGUGGUGGUGCACACCUGUAAUCCCAGCAACUCAGGAGAGGAGGAUCAGGAGUUCAAAGCCACCCUCAGCAACUCAGUGAGACCCUGUCUCUAAAUAA